rnacentral:rRNA from 1 species
UGGGGAAUAUUGGACAAUGGGGGGAACCCUGAUCCAGCCAUGCCGCGUGUGUGAAGAAGGCCUUAUGGUUGUAAAGCACUUUAAGCGAGGAGGAGGGUACUGGUAUUAAUACUACCAGGUACUGGACGUUACUCGCAGAAUAAGCACCGGCUAACUCUGUUCCAGCAGCCGCGGUAAUACAGAGGGUGCGAGCGUUAAUCGGAUUUACUGGGCGUAAAGCGUGCGUAGGCGGCUAAUUGAGUCGGAUGUGAAAUCCCCGAGCUUAACUUGGGAAUUGCAUUCGAUACUGGUUAGCUAGAGUGUGAGAGAGGAUGGUAGAAUUCCAGGUGUAGCGGUGAAAUGCGUAGAGAUCUGGAGGAAUACCGAUGGCGAAGGCAGCCAUCUGGCCUAACACUGACGCUGAGGUACGAAAGCAUGGGGAGCAAACAGG